rnacentral:lncRNA from 1 species
CAUUUGGUGCAGAUGUGCCAAGGAUGUUGGCGGAGAAGUAGCACUUGAGGGUACCUGAGACUGCGGGCGUCUGCUCUGUUCUCCUCGGAAGAAGGAGUCGUCUUAUCGCACUUGGAAAAAUCAAGACAAGUCGUCCAGCCCUCCACUGAGAACAGGAAGUUCAAACACGGGAGAAAAAGGAAAGUCUACCGUUUCAGGGGAGACGGACGGGGAACAGAGCUGGCGCAAGGGGAGCACAGAGGCGGACUCCAGACUGCCGUGGAAGGUCUUUCGAGUCGGUGGACAUGGUUUCUGCCAAAAACCUGCGCAUUCCGUGGAAAUCCCGUCGCAAACGCUUUCGGGCAACAAGCUAGGAAGGCAAAUGGUCUAUGUUCUGUACAGUGUUUGUGUUGAACAGGGCUUUCUGUCUGGGACGAGAACUCUGGGGCAGAAGAGUCUCGGCUACAACCUGACCAGGCAGACGUACUUUCGGUUUGUUCCCUGCGGUGCAUGUUGAGCGUCGACACUCAACGUUCUCACGGAAGGCAGCUUUUCGGCGAAGCGGCUUGGGUGUUCCAGCGCAUAUCAGAGAUUCUUGUGCGUUUCCAUAAUACUAACCACCUACGGAGGAAACCGCCAACCUCACGGCAAGACCACAGACGUUCAUUCUAAAAAAUGCAAUUGAGACAGGUCUAUACUUCAGUGUAUCCUCUUUCUGGCGAUGUUGCUAUCGACAUGAGAAAACCAUAAACGUGCGUUUCUGAUUGCAUGGGUGUACGGGCUACAAAUUCAUACUGAUCAGCCAAGAAGAGAAAACAUGCAGCGGUGUUCUCGCAAUUUCCCUCUUGCACGCUUACGCAAUGUUCUGGUCCUUCGAGACUAGCAUUUGUCACCGCAAAUACAUAUGCACAUAUACCUGUCGGUGCGUGGGUGUCUGUGGAUGCAUGUUCUCAUUCCGAUCAGCAAGGAUCUAUUCAACAAUUUUUCAGCGUCGGCACCCUUGCGCUCGAGGACCGAGAUUUCCUGCUGUAAGGACUCCAAAGCUGUCCAAACACGCUUGAAAAUAUGGGUUCAGAUUUCCUAUAUCCACAUGCACUUGCGUGUGCAUUUAAUUGUUUUCUUUUACUUCGACAUUGGUAUAUGUAAAUAUGUGCAACUGCAUAUGUAUGUACGUUUACGCAUAUGUUUAGUCAUUUCUUUAUGUAUAUACAGAUGUACAUCAACAUAUAGAGCUUGCCCAUGGUCUCCUUUCCAGAAACGCUUCCUCAGCUACAGAUAGCUCUUUGUGAUUUUUGUCCCGCAAAAUUGGGACCUCUCUUGACAGAUUUUCUCUCGUUAUCACCCUGUGGAUAUGAUGGCCCCCAUAUGGGUACCGAGCUUUGGAGAUGCUCAGGU